rnacentral:rRNA from 1 species
GACGAACGCUGGCGGCGUGCUUAACACAUGCAAGUCGAACGGAAAGGCCCGCUUGCGGGUACUCGAGUGGCGAACGGGUGAGUAACACGUGGGCAACCUGCCCUCAGCUCUGGGAUAACUCCGGGAAACCGGUGCUAAUACUGGAUAUCAACUUCUGCUCGCAUGGGUGGUUGUUGAAAGUUUUUCGGCUGGGGAUGGGCCCGCGGCCUAUCAGCUUGUUGGUGGGGUAAUGGCCUACCAAGGCGACGACGGGUAGCCGGCCUGAGAGGGCGACCGGCCACACUGGGACUGAGACACGGCCCAGACUCCUACGGGAGGCAGCAGUGGGGAAUAUUGCGCAAUGGGCGGAAGCCUGACGCAGCGACGCCGCGUGAGGGAUGACGGCCUUCGGUUGUAAACCUCUUUCAGCUCUGCGAAGCGAGAGUGACGGUAGGAGCAGAAGAAGCACCGGCC